UGGGCGGCAUUCCACGGCCUGCUAAUCUUCCAUGCCAAGUUUUGGUAGUCGGACGAGGCCAGCACUGGAAGUGAUAACUUCAUUGUGGUUUGCCCCAUCAUGGUAUUGCCUGAUUAAGCCACAGUCUGAACAGCUGAUUUGUCCAGCCCCAAGACCUGGCAGAUGCGCAGGCUCAUGUGGAUGUAAUGAGCGGUGCACAUCACACAACGUCCGUUCCCGCACGCCUCCCUGACGUCACCCGGGGCCGCGCGAUGCCUGCAGCGCGGAACUUUCUUCCUCGUCGACGCCUCCACUCCACUCCUGUCACACACACGGCGUUGGCUGCAUCACGGCAUCGCACAACUACUGUUCACUCCUGCACCUUCAAGCCCUUGAAUUGAUACCAGCUUUUAGUGACAUCUGUACCAGGUUCGUUGAGCCACUGUCUAACAUCCCUGAUCUAAGGCCAAUAACACCACGACCGUUGAAGAUUUUAAGCUGAGCUUAUCAACACUGAAACGAAGUUAAUUUACAAAUU